rnacentral:rRNA from 1 species
UGGGGAAUAUUGCACAAUGGGCGCAAGCCUGAUGCAGCCAUGCCGCGUGUGUGAAGAAGGCCUCGGUUGUAAAGCACUUUCAGCGAGGAGGAAGGUGGUGAACUUAAUACGUUCAUCAAUUGACGUUACUCGCAGAAGAAGCACCGGCUAACUCCGUGCCAGCAGCCGCGGUAAUACGGAGGGUGCAAGCGUUAAUCGGAAUUACUGGGCGUAAAGCGCACGCAGGCGGUUUGUUAAGUCAGAUGUGAAAUCCCCGGGCUCAACCUGGGAACUGCAUUUGAAACUGGCAAGCUAGAGUCUCGUAGAGGGGGGUAGAAUUCCAGGUGUAGCGGUGAAAUGCGUAGAGAUCUGGAGGAAUACCGGUGGCGAAGGCGGCCCCCUGGACGAAGACUGACGCUCAGGUGCGAAAGCGUGGGGAGCAAACAGAUUAGAUACCCUGGUAGUCCACGCUGUAAACGAUGUCGAUUUUGGAGGUUGUGCCCUUNAGGCGUGGNUUCCGGAGCUAACGCGUUAAAUCGACCGCCU